rnacentral:lncRNA from 1 species
UUCCACAAUACCCACAACCAUUGCCACCUAUUCCUUCACAGCCCCCCAAUGUUUUGAACAGCCUUCAAUUCUUACCUGAGUUUUUUUUCCACACAAGAUAAGGCACAAAACAUAAUCCCAGAUUUACUUUAUAGCCUUAUUUCUGGUUGAUUAAAUAAUCCAAAAUAACUACCAACUCCUGGCUGGGUAAAAUAAUAGUUAAGGCUGCAAUACAGGAAGCAGAAAACAUGUACAGUAUAGGAUUUUUUUACAUGGACUUCCCAUUCUAGCCAUUCACUGAAAGAGUGGAGAAAUAGCUGCCCUUCUACUACCCCUGUUCCUUCUAAUUGGGCGGACAGUGAUGUUAUUAAAUUGUGUUGAAAAAAUAACUGGUUUGGGCUCAGUGGAUAAGCACUAUAAGGGUUUGUGGGAUUUUUAAAAAUCCAUUUGGGCUUCCUAUUCAUGGGUGAAAAACCAAUAACGAGAGGAAUGGCAUCGGUGUUAUUUUUCGCGAUGUGAAAAAGCAACGCAGGAGAUGCGUAAACAAAACACUGCAGUUGGCAAAUGUAUGAAUGAGAGAGGAAACGGCUCUCAUGUAGUAGCGGGAAGUGUACGUGUGGGUGUGUGUGUGGGGGGGAAUCCAUCCCAGAUUUUCCUGGCCGCUUUCUGAGUGACAGAUUGACAUCAUUGGAGGCGUGACAAAGGGUUGAGGUGGGGGCUCGGCGCUGAAAUGCUGCCGUGCCGAGUUUAGAUCAUUCUGAAACAGCAGCUCUUAAGGCGCAUAGCAGCCUGCAAAAGUGAUAUAGCCGCGGCGGACGACGACCACGACGAUCAGGAAUUUGUUGUCUCUCCGGGCACCCGGCGACUUGGUGGAUUUAGCUCGGGUGCCUGCGGAUGUGCUUCGGGAGAACGGCGCUUAACCUUUGCAUUCGGCAUUCCAGUUGCACUUUGUCUCGCCCAGGAUCGGAGCGGCGGGCGAAGGACCAUGUGGUGAAAAGGGAGCCUGGAUUCGUGGACGCGGCGUGACUCUCGUCGACUCCACGCGCGCUUGCCCGGAGAGACAUCGCGCGCCUCCAAGACGGGGCGCGGGGCGGGGGGGGGCGCGCGCAGAUCAAGCUCCAAGUUGGCGGAAGGCAGGAGAGACGGCCGAGCGUCGCCGCAGCAGCAGCAGCAGCCUCGCUUCGCAAAUACUGCCCGCUUCCCCGCCUCCUCCUCGCUCGCUCCCUCGCUGGCCAAGCCCGUCGUCAUAUUUCGAGGGGCGCUCCUUCCAGGCCGUGUGGAUGAGGCGGGCGAUUGAAUUGCUCUUGGAUCGAGCGCGGCACAGUUCUGCAGAACCAGCUCGAUCGCCUUUACCUGCGUUCCUUCGUCGCUGA